AUUGAACGCUAGCGGCAUGCUUAACACAUGCAAGUCGAACGCUCUCUUCGGAGAGAGUGGCGAACGGGUGAGUAACGCGUGGGAAUCUACCCUAUGGUGCGGAAUAACCCUUCUAACGGGGGGCUAAUACCGCAUAAGCCCUUCGGGGGAAAGAUUUAUCGCCAUUGGAUGAGCCCGCGUUGGAUUAGCUAGUUGGUGAGGUAAAAGCUCACCAAGGCGACGAUCCAUAGCUGGUCUGAGAGGAUGAUCAGCCACACUGGGACUGAGACACGGCCCAGACUCCUACGGGAGGCAGCAGUAGGGAAUCUUGGACAAUGGGCGAAAGCCUGAUCCAGCCAUGCCGCGUGAAUGAUGAAGGCCCUAGGGUUGUAAAAUUCUUUCACCAGGGAAGAUAAUGACGGUACCUGGAGAAGAAGCCCCGGCUAACUCCGUG
rnacentral:rRNA from 1 species